UCUUGUAUUGCUAUUAAGGAGUCAGCAAAAUUAGGUAAUUAAGCUCAAAGGAGGGUGAUGAAAGGUGUUGAUGACCUAGACUUCUUCAUUGGUGAUGAAGCAAUAGAAAAACCUACAUAUGCGUCAAAGUGGCCAAUCUGCCAUGGUAUAGUUGAAGAUUGGGACUUGAUGGAAAGGUUUAUGGAGCAAGUGAUCUUUAAGGGCAGAACCUGUAAAGUGAUCUUUAAAUAUUUAAGGGCAAAACCUGAAGACCAUUAUUUUCUUUUGACUGAACCUCCACUGAAUACUCCAGAAAACAGGGACUCUACUGCUGAAAUAAUGUUUGAGUCUUUCAAUGUUCCCAGCUUGCAUAUUGCUGUGCACACUGUUCUUGGCUUAGCUGCAUCCUGGACCUCAAGACAAGUAGGGGAACGGUCGUUGACUGGUACAGUAAUAGACAGAGGAGAUGGUGUCACUCGUGUCAUUCCUGUGGCUGAAGGGUGUGUGAUUGGCAGCUGUAUUAAACACAUUCCAAUUGCAGGACGAGAUAUAACAUAUUUUAUUCAGCUACUGCUGAGAGACCGAGAAGUAGGAAUCCUUCCAGGACAAUCCCUGGAAACUGCUAAUGCAGUAAAGGCAUGCUAUAGUUACGUCUGCCCAGAUUUAGUAAAAGAAUUUAAAAAGUAUGACACUAAUGAGUCAAAGUGGAUCAAACAGUACACUGGAAUCAAUGCUAUCUCAAAGAAAGAAUUUUCCAUUGAUGUUCGUUAUGAGAGAUUCUUGGGACCUGAAAUCUUUUUUCAUCCAGAGUUUGCUAAUUCAGACUUUACACAACCCAUCUCAGAAGUUGUAGAUGAAGUAGUUCAGAACUAUCCUACUGAUGUCAGACGUCCUCUCUAUAAGAAUAUUGUCCUCUCUGGAGGUUCAACCAUGUUCAGGGACUUUGGACUUCUUUUGGAAAGAGAUUUGAAAACAACUGUCGAUGCCAGAAAAAAGUUAAGUGAGGAAUUGAGUGGCAGUAGAUUGAAGCCAAAACCUAUUGAUGUACAAGUUAUUACACACAGUAUGCAACGAUAUGCAGUUUGGCUUGGAGAAUCCAUGCUGUCUUCCAUACCUGAGUUCUACCAAGAAUGCCACACCAAAAAGGAUUAUGAAGAAAUUGGACCUACCAUUUGUCAUCACAACCCAGUGUUCAGAGUCAUGACAUAUAAUUGA